rnacentral:misc_RNA from 1 species
GAUGAAGAACGCAGCGAAAUGCGAUACUUGGUGUGAAUUGCAGAAUCCCGUGAACCAUCGAGUCUUUGAACGCAAGUUGCGCCCGAAGCCACUAGGCCGAGGGCACGCCUGCCUGGGCGUCACACGCCGUUGCCCCCCCAUCUACUCCUUCGGGAUUGCGGGGGGGCGGAUGAUGGCCUCCUGUGCGCCUAGCCGCGCGGUUGGCAUAAAUACCAAGUCCUCGGCGACGCACGCCGCGACAAUCGGUGGUUGCGAAACCUCGGUUGCCCGUCGUGUGCGUUCGUCGCGCAUCGAGGGCUCGAAAAAAUGCUCGGCUCCGGCUGGGCUUUCAACGCGACCCCAGGUCAGGCGGGGUUACCCGCUGAAUUUAAGCAUAUCAAUAAGCGGAGGA